CUCAGUGUGUAAACAUAGAUCCUCUGACAGUGCAGAACGUGCACUUCUUAGAACUUCGCUGUCUGGAGGAGUCAUGCUCACUAGUAAGAGGCCGCUGAGGCUGGACGGAGGGCACUUGGGCGGCAAUUCCACAACUCCCAGGUCCUGACGUUAAAGGAGCUUUGGCCAAUGCUCACGCGGGAGCUCUCUGGCUGAGAAGACAAGCUCCGUGACCUCAGGACCCAAAGCGGUCUGCGACUACGGCAGGAGGAGGCUGUGGACACAUUCGGCCGAAUAGAAGCGUCUAACGCCAGCUACCUAGGUUAUGAUGAACGGUGCCCUGAUGCCCCUCCUGUCUCCGGGAUUAUCCGCAAAGUGGGUUUAAGACCGGAUGCCUGCGCGGGGGACUUUAUCCGCGGAAUGGAGACAGCAGGUUCUGUCCAGCCUGCCUGCUACAGCUGCGGCUCUCAGCACACCCGACGGUCCCCAACCUGCUCUGGCUCCGCCUUGUGCUUUCACGCGUGCCCUCCUUCGGCGCCCGUCCCGCCACCCAGCCACACACCUGCAGUCCCCGGCGGGCGCCCGGCGCCGAGCCCCUCUCCAGCGGCGACUCCCGGCAAUUCACGACUCAAGGUCCGGAACCUGCGGAGCAUCUGAGGAACAACCCCCGGCUCGGAGCCCGCCUGCCCUCGGGAGGUACAGGCCCUGCCGGUGUUUCUUGGUCGCCGAAGGACGCCAGCGCAGAGCCGGCCGACACCCCAGAAGGAUCGAACUUGGGACCUUGAGCUUGCGAG
rnacentral:lncRNA from 1 species